GUGACGUCAGAGUCUCUGGUGUCCACUCCGUUCUGUGGGAAGUGCUGCCUGGCCCUGUACAAAGGAAGGUGGUCUAGAGUAGAGAGCUCGAAGCUGGACCAGGCCAAGCUGGUGCACAUCUACCUGUUUACCUCUCUGGGCUUCCAGGAUGUCACCAACUGUGUUAACCACUAGAUGGUCACUUCUGACCUAUGGAAGCACCCCGCCUCCCCCGGACCCCAGAAGGACGGCCUCCCUACCCCCAGUUUCCUCGACACCGUGGUCGCCAACAUGGUGGGUCAGCUUACCCUCGACAGCCCAGCCUGCAGCCCUAUCUGUCUCCACCGAGACCCCCAGCCCUCUGGAUGGUGCCGGGGACACGUCAAAAGUGCUCACCCCCAACUUUGGUCACCUGCGCUUGGGGAGAGAAGCAGCUGGCGCUGCCCCCUCUCAUGGAGAUUCCCCAGGCGGGCCAGAACAUGGACAUCUACGUGUCUGUGGCCUGUCACCCGGGACACUUUGUGCUGCAGCCGUGGCAGGACCUGUACAAGCUGAUGGUGCUGAUGGGAGCGACUGUCCUUUGCUACAACCAGAGGGAGGAGAUUCCGGGGCCCGGAGAUGUACAGAAAGGCCAGGUCUAUGCCGCCGAGGUGGACGGAUUAGGGCUUGGAGGCCUCCACAGCUUUUUGAUUUUAUACAAAUGAAAAAAGCCAGUCGCACACUUGUCUCUGGAAUGAAGUGUGUUGACGUCAUUGUGUUUUUAGUCCUAGCUGAUUUAUGGCCUUUGUUUUGUUUUCACAUGGCUGAGGCAAGAUAA
rnacentral:lncRNA from 1 species